rnacentral:rRNA from 1 species
UACGGGGGGGGCAAGCGUUGUUCGGAAUUACUGGGCGUAAAGGGUUCGUAGGUGGUUUGGUAAGUCGGAUGUGAAAUCCCCGGGCUCAACCUGGGAACUGCAUUCGAAACUGCUUGACUAGAGUUUGAGAGAGGGAAGUGGAAUUCCACAUGUAGCGGUGAAAUGCGUAGAUAUGUGGAGGAACAUCAGUGGCGAAGGCGGCUUCCUGGCUUAAAACUGACACUGUGGCGCGAAAGCGUGGGUAGCAAACAGG